rnacentral:snoRNA from 1 species
AACACUUGGGUGUGUUUUUGUUUAACUUCUGGACAAAGACUCAGGUGCAAAAAAUAAAUCCUCUUAGCAACCCAGAACUCGUGGUUCAGUGUGAGUUUUGAUACACACAAGAAGGUAUAAG